CGAAAGCCUGACGGAGCAAUCCCGCGUGAGGGAUGACGGCCUAUGGGUUGUAAACCUCUUUUUUCAGGGAGGAAUCAAUGACGUGUACCUGAAGAAUAAGCAUCGGCUAACUCCGUGCCAGCAGCCGCGGUAAGACGGAGGAUGCAAGUGUUAUCCGGAAUCACUGGGCGUAAAGCGUCUGUAGGUGGUUUAAUAAGUCAACUGUUAAAUCUUGAGGCUCAACCUCAAAAUCGCAGUCGAAACUAUUAGACUAGAGUAUAGUAGGGGUAAAGGGAAUUUCCAGUGGAGCGGUGAAAUGCGUAG
rnacentral:rRNA from 1 species